rnacentral:rRNA from 1 species
UACGUAGGCAGCAAGCGUUGUUCGGAAUUACUGGGCGUACAGAGUGUGUAGGCGGUUCCUUAAGUUCCGUGUGACAUCUCCCGGCUCAACUUGGAGGGUGCGCGGGAACCUGGGGGGCUCGAGUAUGGGAGAGGAAAGCGGAAUUCCUGGUGUAGCGGUGAAAUGCGUAGAUAUCAGGAGGAACACCUGCGGUGUAGACAGCUUUCUGGACCAUCACUGACGCUGAGACACGAAAGCGUGGGUAGCAAACAGG